UUUGCUUUUGAAGAUGGAAGCUCGGAGCACAACGAUGCAACUGGUAGUGCAUCUAUUCAAGAUUGCAACUGCCGCAAGCGGCCACGUGGACCAAACAGCUUAACCAUAUCUGGACAAACUAGUGAAGAAAGAUUCACUCAUACAUCAGCUACAAAUGGCUACAUACGUAUCGAGUUGUAUGGUCCAACUGAUGAGUGUGACAGAGUAACCUCAUAUGAGACCUUCAAGAAGGCUCUUGCAAUCCGUGCCCUGGCAAGGUAUUAUAUUUCUCUGUGCUGCAUGAACCGUCGCAACUGUCUACACAAAACAUGUAUAACAUGCCAACAAUGCAACCACCAUCAUCUGAACACCAGUGGGUUUAGAGAGGAAUCGGCGGCAUCAAAAAGAAAUGCUUCAACUCUAUCAAAUUAUACACCACAGUGCAGCCCUGUGAUCCUGCACUAUACCCCGAAACACAUCGAGGUCCCGUACAAUUCAUUCCAGACACAACUGACUGGCAGAUCUGAAAUAGUUAUGGACAUGUUCGAUGCAAUAAUUAGGCGAUUCACAGAGGUAACUAAGAGUGGAGAUGAAUGUGUGGAAGGCUAUAUCCAGCGACACAUAUUUGAAUCAAUAUUUAUUGGGACUUUGCUUGCAGGCACAUUCAACGCAACAAGCCAAGUGAUUAAAGAUCAGAUAUAUGGGCUGCAUAUAUAAUAUGAACUGCCAUCGUGCAGAAUAGUAAGAAAAAACAAAACAAACUUGAUUUCUGCAGACAUCACAUUGCUGUUGUAGCUAAAAAAUAAGUUAACACAAAAUUCAUUUCGUCUCUGUUUUUGGAAGCAGCUAUUCUUCCCAGGAAUUGUUGGGCACCGAUGGGUGACAUACGCAUGGUGUCUUGAUAGAAACAUAAUAUCUGUAUUUGACCCUUGUUUCAAUGAAAAUUGCAUUGACGAACACAAGGAUGUGCACAUAUACGUCAUUGGACUGAUUAAAAAUGCCAUGAAAUUAACAGCAAGUCAUUUGAUAACUGGCUGGAAUUACAACUGGGAAGCAGCAAGAAUAGAAAUAAUAGCCACCCAAUUUGCCGGAAGCACCUGGAAUAGGAGCACAGGUUGCGCUGCUGCCCAAUUCUGCUUUCACUAUAGUGGAACGCUUUCUUCACUUUCAAGAGUAAAUGUAACAGAUGCAUCAGAGGUUGCAGAAAUGCUCACUGACGCACUAGGCUUAAAAGAAAACCAGGGGUUCGUGCCCACAACAUAAAGAUGCCAACCAUACCUCGCAGCGCUGAAGAAGGUAUUGCCCGACAUGCAGUCUCUCCUUACAGCAAAAUUAAAUCAGUAUCGUUAAGUAUUUUUGUAAAAAAAAAGAGCUAUAUAAACUCAUAAUAUUAUUUUUGAAGAACUACAUGUAUGUUUUGCCUGUUACGCAGACCCUUACCAGUCCCUUCCUUU